ACAACUAUAUAACAAUGUGGAACUGAUGUUUCAGUUAACAGUUUUUUGUUCUUUCAUCAAUUUCAGCUAGUGGUGUGGACAGUGAGUGAAGGCCGGUCAUGGUUGUUAUAGGAGCUCAUUUUCUUUUGCGGUGCCUUGAUUUGGAGUGUUUUGUGCUGUAUGUUGUAAAGGCUAUUUACUCGCUCUCCCCCGCCAAGUCGUACUUAGGCCAAUACGGAGGAGGUAAAUCACGGAUGACUACUAGUCAUUAAUGCAAGUGGCCAAGGUAUGUUCAGACCGUCGAGUUUCGAUCCCAAGACUUCAUGUGGUAACAUCCUAUGUCUCAACCACUGUACCGUCCCGAGGGGACUAUAGUCCUUGUGAUCCAUGCAAUUAGAUCUAGAAGUUUACUUUUAGUAAUUUAAAACAUUUAGUCUUAUUUUUCUUACUCAAUGAUGUACAUCUAAAAAUUAUUUAGUGUUAUCAACAUCUUCGUAAAUUAAUGAAAGAUUGUUAAAUAGACACUAUGGGUCAAUCCAAUUGUGUGCUAACAUGAGAAUUCUUUCCAUAUUUAUUUCCAUCGUCCUUAAUAUCGUUAAGGCAAACAGUUUAAUUAUUUAACAGGAGUUUGAACCCUUGAUUCAGAAGCCAUACAGCAUUAUUUACAUUCACUCCGCAGCCUCUUUGCAACUGUAUUGUAUUUGAUUUGUUGAAGCGAAUUGAUGCGCAAUACAGAAAAGGAUCUUGUUGACAUACAUUUAACAUGAAGUUGUUUAUGGACGCAGUGCAACAGAUUUUGGGUUGGAAGCACAAGGGAAAUUUGCACGCUAUAUAUGUUUUGCAUCCGACACUGGGAUUGAGGGCAGCAAUCUUCUCCCUGCAGCUUUUGGUGGACGGCGAGGUGAUAUGAGGUAUAAUGGAGGGUCCUGGUAAUACAGGGAGGCUAAUAAUCAAGGUGACGAGAUGAUCAAAGUUAAGGAGAAGUAAUAGUCAAGGCUAGGAAGUUUCUGACCUGGUCCAAAAAGAGAAGUAAAGUCAAAGCCGGAAAUUUCCUUUGGGACUUGGCUUUCCCAUCUCAGUCAUAAGCAUGACUCUCAAUAUAUUUUCGGUCGGUUUCUUAGAUGGUCGGGCCCAUAGGGUUCAGUCCCUUCAUUUCUCCUGGGCACCAUAUUAAUCUAGUCUUGGUCGGCUUCUUAGUUAGUCGGGUCCCAGGAUUCAGUUUCUCAUUUCUUUAGGGUAUUGUCUCAGGCUAGUCUUAGUCGACUUCUUAGCUGGUCGGGCCUCAGGAGACAAUCCUCUCAUUUCUCUUGGGCAUCGUCCCAGGUUAUUACUGGUUGGCUUCUUAGUUGGUCGGGCCUCAUAGCUUAGUUUUCUCAUUUCUUUUGGGCACUGUCCUAGUCUACUCAGUUGGUUUCUUAGUUGGUCAGGCCCUUCAGACUCGAUCUCUUCAUUUUUCUCGGGCAUCGUCCUAGUCUACUCUUGGUCUGUCUUAGUGUCAGUCAGACUAUUGUCAGGAGACAACAUUGUUAUAGAAUUAUAAUAACUUGUCAAACAAUAACGGUUAUUCGUCAGGAAAUAUUUUGAUAUUGUCACAUGUAUAACGCGGAAUCUUCCU